GCCUAGUUAGCUUAGUUGGUAGUGCGUCUGCCUUGUAAGCGCUAGGCCGCGGGUUCGAUUCCCACCCAGGCG
rnacentral:tRNA from 1 species